rnacentral:lncRNA from 1 species
AAUUGCAGCAUCGAGGGCUGCUGUUCUGCUGACUGUCUUGCUCAGCCGGGGUCAUCUGCUUCUCUAAGACAUCAAGGAAUGCCAAGCCCAUGUAUCAGGACCAGUCAGAGGGAGAAGAGAGGAGUGUAGUCACCUUGGAGUCUGGAACAAACAGCUGGCUCUGCAGCUGGCCAGGCAGCUAUCCAAGCAGGGGGCCUCUCUAGGAGCAAAAUCCAGAAGCCAAAAUAAAUGGGUCAGGUGGAAAGCAGAUGACUAUAACUGCAAGCAAUGCUGAAGGUUGGCCCUGGGGAGCGAAGGCUUUACAUUUCAAGGAUUGUUUCUCAAAUGGCAACUGGCAGUCUACUCCUCAAAUGAUGACGUUUUCCACAGGAAUUACAAUUUAAUUGGAAUAUUUUGUUUUCAAUGGGAAGCAAAGAUUUCUUUCCAAGAGGAUCAGUUUGAUAAUGUUUUACCAGCUAGUGCUACGAGACCAAAUAUAAACCAGUUCUGAGAAACAGGAAGUGAACUGACUGGUCUAGUCUGAGUGUCCCUGGCAGUGACGCAAAUACAGAAAUCAAAUUAGGAAAACAAGAUAUGUGGGUGUGAGGCAAUCGAUAAUAAUCCAGGAUGCUACAACAUAAGCAAGAAUGCCUUUAACCCGAUGCCAUUCAUUUUAAUAACACCCUGAGCAGUUUGAUUUCCACGGAACACGCUGGUGAUUAGAGAGCAGCAGGAGCUUGGGUUCCCUAGCAACAGCAUGUGCUUUUGAGACAGUCAUUAGCCUUUCAGUUAAUCCCAUCAACCCCUUACCUCUAAAUGUAUGACUGACAUAAAAAAAAUGAUGUUUUAGAAAGUGCUUUGAAAUUUCCAGGAGUGCAAUGGAAGGGAAUAAUCAUAAUUAAAAAGUUGUCUGGAGAACUACACUCCAGUGAAGGAAGUAAUGUUCCUACGUGCCAAGCCUGUCCGUAUAUUUCCCUGCUCUCAGUUGUAGGUUUCUGAAUCCCCUGUGGCAAAGGGCAAGGGAGGUGAAAUUGUUCAGAGUUUCAGGCAGUCUUCUCACCUAAAGUGAGUAGUAUUGCAAUGUCUCUUGGAAUCAUGGCUCUGAAGAUGAGGAGAGAAGCGGGAUGGGCAGUUUGUGUGGUGAGGAGGCUGGCUGCAGGUAGGCUGGGAGGGAAUGUCACACAUAGUUUUCUUUCUCCUUUAAGCCGAAUGAGGUAUGCUGGUCAAAGGAACUUGGGGAAGGAGGAUGGUGAGGGGAAUGAAGUUCUUCUUCCUAUUGAUUGUUUUGUUGCACCAGAGGCUGUUUGUCCAAGGCCACUGGCCAAGAGCAUUAUUUUCGUGGCUAAAGUGAGGUUGGGCAGGUUUCCCAUCCCUUUCACUAGUUUUGAACAAGACAACCCAGAAAGCGCAGCAAGGCUCUGGGAAUAUGAUGUGGGUUGGCUUUUCCUACUCAGCUGCACCUUAAAGCGCCAGGCCGAUGGGCUGAUACUUCUCAAACCCUGAAUCAUUGCCUCCAGCUCUGUCCUGGGUUCAGGAUGCACCACUCCACCCUCUGUGUAGCUUGGGGUCAACUUCGGGGCGUCACUCCAAUAGUAAUUAUUGCUGCGUUUGGCUGGACAUCCUUAUUACGGCCUGGGUCCCUCUCAGCUGGAAACUGGGCUCCUUCAGUUUGGCUGGGGUGACUUCUAGCACUUCCCGCCGCCCCACCUUACCCCCCUGCGCGCUCCCUUCCCAAGGCGACCACCUGCACCGCCCCACUUACCAUCUGCCCCGCGGGGAGGGCCCCCCGGGCUAGCGGAGCCCUCCCUGCUCCCGGGCGGCUCUGGAGGAGCUCGGUGUUUGCCUCUAGCCCUUCGCUACCGGAGGAUCAGGUUCCUCCCCUCCUCCCCCUCCAGCUCCGGCCGCCGCCGCCGCCGCCGCCGCCUCCUUCUUGCAUGACACAGCAGAACCGCAGCUGCUGCAGCAAUUUCAAGCCAUCCGCCCAGGAAGCGCCGCAACCGGGACUCGGGAGGGGUGGAGGGGGCGAGGCAGAGGCCGCGGCCCCAGGGGAUCCUUGGCCCCACUGUGCACCACACACUCCUUUCCCAGCCCAGGGGCACGCGAACAAAAUGAGGCUCAAGCUGACCAGGCCGAGCCGGAGGAACGCUGGGGCUUGGCAGCAGAAGGGAUGGGACCAGAGAGAAGGGUGUGGAGGAGACCCCAGUGAGGGCCAGGACAUUUCAGGUAAAGAGAGGUCAUAUCUCCGUACCUCACUUCCUGACACAAACAAGUUUUCACUGUUGUCAGCAACAAAGCCCUAAUAUAGCUGCGGAAGAGAAAAACUGCAUUGCAUUUUGCCUCCUGCAAGCAUCAUCAACAGUUACUGGAGGAACGUAAUUCCAGAAAGCUUGAAAGCCGUGGUGAUGGUAAUUAUGUAUCAAAUGCCUGGUUCUAUUUCUGUUAUUAUUGUUUUGUCAUUUCUGUUUUCCCAGCGAUCUGACUGAACUCGCAGAGGGACAAAUCCAGUUUUUCUUUUUGACUUUUGUCAAACUAAAUCAGGCCUGAUAGAAAACUCAUUGCUCUCCGGGGAAACAAAGUAGGAGCCACGAAAUGUCAUUUUAACAGAGCGUGGGUUUGGUGACUGUAGGAAAGGAUUUGAGGACGCUCCUUCUGUUCGGCUUCCUAUGUCAUGAGCACAGGCUCCACGCACGCACAGACACCACGGCUCCCGGAUGCUGUGGCUCCCCGAUCGGGGCUCCUGCAGCGCCAGAAGCCCCUCCGGGAUGCUUCGAGGGGCUCCCGGUGGGUGGAGGUACGGACGCCGCUGCGGCCGCCGCCGCCAGUCCUGCUGCUGUUGUUGCUGCUGCAGUCACGUGGGAGCCCCUUUAAGUUUCCAUAGAGAGGCCUCUCUGGUGUCACAUGAUGGACAUGAUAUAAUGAAACAACAUUGUGGAGAGGAAAGCAUUAGGGGAGCCCACGGCUACAAAAACAAGUGAGUGAGAAGAGGUGGGAGGAAGAGAAACUACGCCACCUCCCCUGCAGCCGAGUGCACGCAGCAGCCUGGCGUGACAAGUGGGCGACGCCGGGGGGCAGGGAGCCGGGGUCCUUGGCCCUGGCCGGGGACCCCACCGCCCACCGCGCGGAGGACAACUUUUAGCCGGCAGCCCAGACCAGCGCGGCACCUGUCUCCGGAGUCUCCACCGCUCCUCCCGAUUCAUCCCAGGGAAAUUCUCAAGAAUACGCUCUACAAAUCUACGUGCGCAUCAUUUUCACCUCGCGUCGCGCCCGGGAGGAAGGAACGAGGCAAGGAGCUAAAGCAGCGUGCGUUCAGCCCUGGGGCAUUUUAUUAAUGCUUUUACGAGUUAGAAGAGUUGGGAUAAUUUGCCAUCUGGAGUUUCUCUGCCUUGCUGAUCUGAGCUCAGACCUGCCAAUUUACCAGAGAUAAUUGAUAACACCCUGUAACAGCUGAGAGGAAAAUGGAAGAAACGGAGAUACUUUUAGUGAAGCAGAAUAAACCACUGAACAGGAAAAAUGAGGAAGCUGUGAGUACCAGUGGAAGGAACGAGCCAGGAAGAGGGACUGGAACCAUCUCAGAAGCCAUGCCCCUCAGGCUGGAACUUGCCCUGUCUCCUCGCAGAUGAGCUACCUCUUGUGUUUAAGAAUUAAAGGAAGAUGAGCUAGGAAUCAAGAAAUACGCAGAACUGAUUCCUGUCACUGGCGCCACCCUGCCACUUGCCCAGAGCUGUGGUAUAAAUUUUUUUAAUAGGCUGAAAUAAAAAUAUGAAUAGCAUUUUGGUAUUAAGCAUUAAAUUGAUAAAGGCUAUGAGAUACACCUGCUCUCAACCAUGUUAAUUUUUUAUUAUUGGUAUUAAUAAAUUAUUACUUACUAACAUAUUAACAAGAAUUGCAUUGAGAAACAAAGCAUCCACAGGCCAAAUCUUCUGAAUUUCAAAUGUUUAUAUUAAUGCGUUGUAUUCUAGAAAAGUAGAAUUGUCUUAAGUAGCUUUGUAAUAUAAAGUCAUCUAUCAGCCCAUUACACCUAUUAGAAUGUUUUAACCUUUAUUUCCCACUUUUUUGUUUCUAGACUGAGUGUACUUGGUCUGGUAUUUGUGGCAUAACUUACGGAACACAUAAGAAUGAUACAGAUACUAUUUAAUGAUGACCUAAUACAAGCUUAGAUAGCUAAGGUGAAAGCUUCUAUGGCCUUAACAUUUUCCUCUUGAAGAAUGUAUUUUCUGUAAUAAAAUACAGUGGCUACUUGAAAUCUAUAAACUUAUGUGAGGUCUGGAUAAAUCUGAGCAACUUUCUUCUUUGUGCUCCAGGAACCUACGCACUAUAUAUAUAAAUAAAGCUUAAGUAAACAUCACUGCAAUCUGUGUUUUGUUUGAUUAUAUUACGUAUUGCCUGAUCUUUAAAUAAUGAUGAAAAAUAGCCUUUAACAUAAACCAUGAAUGGAUAUGCACUUGAGGGAAACAGUUUCUUGGAUAAUUAAACUUUAAUUUCUCACCGUGGAUUCCUUGGAUCUUGUAAUAUUUUUUAAAACAGUCCUGGGGAUUUAUUUUUAAGGCGUCCAAAUGAAUUAUUAGUUCUCAAAAGCCAUAGUAUAUUCAUGGGUCGAUAUAUCCUCAAAACACUAUUUUUAAACUGCUUAGUUUAUUUUUCUUAGCGUGCUCAUCUGCUGCAUAAUUUUCUUUGCUAUGUAUGGGUCACAUGCUUCCUCCCGUCCAUAACUCACGCACUUAAAAUUCUCACUUCCUGAUUGAGCCAUCAGAUUACGUAAAAUGUAAAUCAGCCUGAAUACCUAGGAGCAGGAAUUUUAAGGGAGAAAAUGCCGUUUUCUUUUUCUGUGUCAUUAUUAACCCUUAAAUAUCAGAGUGAGUGUCUGCUCACCUAUUUGUAUUUGGAAACGAGAUACUGUUAGGGGUUUUUCUUGGCCCUUCCCUUUCAGAUUGAAUCAGACUUUGCUGCUUUCCUUAUACAAAAUAAUGUACCAACUAGAUAGACGGUGGGAGUGGUAUCGUUGCAGGAAUGAAACCAAAAGGGUUCCGAUGAUUGAGAGAGAUUCAUUUAUUUUUUAACUCUUCUCAUGAUCUGAAUGAAGAGUACAGCAUCUAUCAAAAGGUAACAACCUAAUAUUUCAGAAUUGCAAGUGGCCAUUUAGCCUUUCUGCUGCCUGAUAUAAAUGAAAGUAAUUCCUAGCAGGCAGGAUGACACUUGUUUUAUCACGAAUCUGACAAUCCAGCACAUUUUCUCAAGCAAUUUUGAAGUUGUCGUAGUAACAGCAUGGCAUUUGGAGGGUCUUUUUAGUAGUUCUUUAGCUAGAGUUAAUUAAUUGUAUUAACUCUGGAUGUUUUUCUUUUUACUCCUCUUUGACAAACAAGGGCUAUAAUUGCUCAAAUAUGUAUUUUGUGUUCUAUAUUUUUUGGUGACUAUAGUUUAAGGACGUGAUGUUUUUAAGUGGUUUCAGUAAAAGGUUAUCAGUUGAUUUCAGACACAUUAAACUUGGGUUUUUAAUUUCUCUGUAAAAUUCCACUAUCAUUGUAGGACCAGGAUUUAGUUUUAUUUAAGAAGUGAAUCUGGGGAGAUAUUUGCACAAAUUGAAUUGUGGCUUGCUUCCAGUGGUUGCAACUAUCCGUUGCUUUGAUUUUGGUGUAUUUAGAAAAAGAACUGGGGAAUGCAGAAAGGGAAAUGUGUCAGGCUUACAGGAGAAAAUUGUUUCUUUAGAAAUGCAACAGGCAGGCACACCACCAAAAGCAUGUUCCAUAAAAGAAAACAAAUAAAUUUGAUUUUGUGAAACUUAAGAAUGCAGUGCUCUUUGAAACUCUAAAAUAUACUUAAAUAAAUUCUCCCCUAGGAAGAUUUGUGGGAACUUUUUAUUGGUGGAAAGUAGGUUGGAACUUCUAGUAUUAAUAGUAAAACUCUGUGGCAGAAAUUCUUGCCAAUAUGGCGGUUGGUGAGAAAGGAAUCCCGUUUCUUGGGCAGGGAGAGGGUCAGAAGAAAGAAUUGUCUGUACUCAGUCUGGAUGCCGGGACUUAAAAAGUAUCAGAUAUACAAUGCUUUUGUUUUCUUGUAUAAGUGAACAGAGAGAUGUGACACUUCUAAAAGGUCUUGUGAGUUUUGUGGGUUUAAUGCUAAUGCCACUAUCCUUACUGUUCUGUGAGUAUUUGUUCAGCCACGGGUGAUUCAAGAGAGUUGGGGUAUCAGCAUGUGCAGCCAACAGCAGUCCAGGUGCUAAUGCACCACCGGUGAUGUCAGGAGUUACGAGACAGCGGUUUCCAAACACUGCAGUAAACAAGGUCAAAGUGUCCCGUUUCGCUGGAAGAAGUUUUGUUUUUAUGAGCUGGACAGUACAUGGAUGAAGUAAUUUUUCAAAACAAACUUUAAAUUUAUACAUGUGUUUUUUUUCUUCUUCUCUUUGGAUUAAAAUAAAUUGGCCCGUUGAGAUUAAAUAAUGGUUAUGUUUUUAAGCAGAAUUAUAUUUCAUAUGUUUUUCCAGUCUUUUAUUGAUUUUCUGUUUUUCACAGAAGAAAUGAAAAUAACUUCUGAUGUAGGGUUUCUUAAAUGCAGUUUGAGAGAGCAAGAUAGGAACCAGUACUUUCAAAAUAUGGCAAGUGCAAGUCACAAUCCCUAGUAAGAUAUUCCUUCUCAUUUUGUGCCUUUGACUCUUAUUUAGACAGACGUUUAAGUACGAGAAAGCUAAUGGCGCAGAUUCUGCUGACUGUGUGGCUCUCGUCUUAAUGCGUUUUCCAACCUUGAACCUGAGAAUGCCAGAGGAUUGAGUCUCUGGACGUUCAUCUGAGCAGAUAUCUGCUGGCCGCCUGGUUCCUGAGCUAACAAGUGGGUGUCCCGGGCUUGUGUGUGUAGUCACAACAGUGGAGGUGCCACGUGGCACCCAGAGGUCGACUGGGGCUACCGCGGGGCUUCCCGAUCCUCACAAGUGUGUCUUCAGUGUCUGACAUGAACUGGGAACUUGGGGCAUCUUUAGAAGCACAGACAUUUGGAGUUCCACGGCAAACCUGGAUGUAAGCACUCACACAGCUUUUAAAGUGAAAGCAGGGACCUUGAGGAAGGAAUCGCCGUCAUCUCAUUGCCGACCUGCUUACUGUGCUGGGAAACAAAGUAAGUUCUGUUUGUUUCUUUGUUAGUCUCUCCUGCGUGUUUUUUCUUGCUAAUGUUAUUAGACACUCAAUAUCCGGCAAAUGCCAAUGUGCCGGCUUGCUGUUUAGAGAUAGGAAGAGAUUGAAAUUUAUUAUCAAGGAGAAAACAAAAAGUGUUUUGUUUUGUUUCUAAAUGGUCCAAGAACUUUGCCAUUAGGUAAAUGACUAUGACACAGACAAGGCGUUUUGCAUGGUAUGACCAGGAGCACCUCUAGCAAAACAGCCCCAGUUCGCCGCCCUGAUUUCCAUUUGGAAGCAGGCACAGUGGGUUUCCCCAGGACCGAUGUUAACGCAGAGGGUCCUUGUGCAGGAAUUGUGCAGAAACUAGGUGGGAAGGUGUCACAGACAAGAGGCUGCAAUUUAAAAACGCAUCAGGAAAUGGAAAAGAGCUGCGAGAAUAUCAAUUAUUUAAUGAUGUUGAUAAAAACAAAUUUAAUAUAAAAAUGAGAUACAAUGUAUAGAGACCUAACCCUGUCAACAGCAACUAAACUUUACUUUCAUGUUAGAAAGUUUUGUGCCAUGUAGAUUUAUGGAAAAUGUGCUUAAUUGCCUCUAGAAAAUAAUGAAGAGGCUUCGUCACCUCCAUAGAAGAUCCUGUGACACUAGCCUAAUUCUGACACAUGGCUCCUGUUUUCCAUUUUGUUUGUUUUUUUAUGCUGAUCCUCUCUCCAGAGAUGUGAUGUGGAUUGAUUAACUUGUAAUAUAAAGUUCUAUGGUUUCUGAAAAUGCAGAGCAAAUAGAGAUGAAGAGUGGUUUGUGAUUUGUUAUUAAAUGAUCUUCCCUUCUACAUUUAGGACUGAUUUUUACUGUAGAAUUUUUUUUUUUUUUUUUUUUUUUUUUUUUUGUCAACUUGAACAGCAAUACCUUGAAGGUAAAAGGUGGGAGCACGACUGGAGUGUGGAACUGGAAAGCAGAAACCAGGGGUGUUACUUCUAUGUCUAGUAUGGAAUGUUGUGAAUUUAAGUUAGAGCUUCUGUGUCCUGGGAAUUCAUAUUUUAUCUCAAAGUGGUGCUGAUAGGACUGGAGGUAGCUGUAUUUCAUUUGAAACAUUCCAGCCUCUUUAUAGGAAUAUCUGUGAAUUUUUAAUUCAGCAAACAUCUUUAAGUGUGUCAUUUAUGUAUAGCGUUGUAGUCAGAGCUGUAAUUGUUUCACCAUUAAAUUUACGGAAAUUCAGUUUGUAAGUGAAAAAUUAAGAACAGUUUGAAAGAAGGGCGAAUGAGCAGAGCAUUGCCAUCUAAACAGUCUUGUUAAAGAUAGUGCCAAGUGAGCAGGACUGUCCCUUCUAAGCUGCCCCUCCUAAUUAAAGGGAAAGGUGGCUGCCAUCUGUCUUCUUUCAUUCAAGGCAGUAGGGGGUCUAGGGUGGAAGGAAGCAACCCCCACUUUAUUUUUCUCCCACUCUUUUUUAUAGUCAGCUUUCUCCCUAGUCAGUGACCCAGAAGGUCAUUGAUGAUCUGUCUAUCUCAGAAUGAAUAGUAGCAUAAGCACGCUUGGCACUUGCAAAAAAAAGAAAGUUUAUAACAUGCACUGAUCCAUUUAAAGUUCUGCUUGAAUUAUGUCUGAGAGUAUUGUAAUCUCUGUAUUGGUGUCUCUGCCCUGUUUGUUACCAAGGGCACUACUGGCAGGAAAAGUGGGGAGUUUUACUUUUAUUGAUUUUGCUUUUUCAUGAAAAAAUGUUUACACUCCACUGGGCAUAAUCAGAAGAUGGCAGCACAUGGCUAUGUACAGGAGAUGUGGGGAUGUACAGGAAUAUUGUUCUUAUCAAAAUCAAGGACACCUAUUAAUGAUGAUACAUAUAUGUCAUCUCAGGGGAAAGCAUGAACAAGCAUGGCAACAGAUGUCCAAGUUACUCAGUGGCCUGCUGCAGCUUUUUGGACCAGUUAUUGAAAUAAUUCACAUUGUUUAGCUUUUGUUAAGCAAUAAGGCUUUUAGCCUUUUUCUUGUAAGAAUACGUUGCAGGAGAGUUUAGUUUGGGGUCAUGUCUUCAUUGCUUUGGAAAUGUAGAAUAGUCCUCCAACAAAAUGACUGCAUUUGCUUGCCUUCGUUUCCACCUCUGUAAAUAGAAGAAAUAUCUGCUGUUUUUAUAAAUAUAUAAGAGAAUAUGAAAUAUUUUCCAUCUUUCAUAAGAACUGUGUUAUAACUGAAAAAUUCUCAAAUCUUCAGUUAUGUUUAUUUUCAAUUUUUACACACUUAAGCAAGGUGUUAACAGUCUUCUAAAGAGAUUCAGUUGUUACAAGCCUUGUUUAGUUCCCAAGUAGCAGGUAUGGACUUCUCAGAACAUACUGGUUUUUAGAACUCUCUUUGUGACACAGAAGUGUGGUAUUUCUUAAACCCAUAACAAUAUAUUUGGAGAGCUCAAAUGUGAAAGUCAUGUCUGUAAUUUUAUUUAGAGCUUUUUUUUUUUUUUUUUUUUCCAAAUUUGUCACCAACUUGCAACGAGCUUUCUUGGAAACAUAGACGUGUUUAUGUUGUUGAGUCUUGAGAUGAACAUGUGUGGGCUUCUGACGACACUGAUGCCCAGUUUGUAUGAUUGGAUGAUACCUGAAAAGUGGGUCACUUCCUAGUCAGUGAAGGGUACACAGGGCUGAAUAGGCAGGGCUUUUUGGCUUUUUCCGUGCUUUUGUUUUUGUUUUUGGUGUGUGUGUGUACUAAUUUUAGAUACUCAGCUAGGUACUUGACUGGCUAUCCUUUUUAGCAUGUGAUUUAAUUUGGUUUUACCCAUCAGUAUUUAUUUCAAGGGGACUAAAUAAACACAUUAAAUGAAGCACUUAAGAACUUUCUAUCUUCUUUUGACUAUCCACAGCGGUGGGAAAUCUCUGUCCUUUGAGGGUAGGAGGGAGCCAAUAGUUAGGUCUCAUGAAUAUGGUAGGUGAUCAAACCACUGAUUCAAGUCAUUGUUUCAUGUUAUAAACAUGGACUGAGCCAGCUACUACAUUUCAGUAGAAGGUACUGUAGAUUCAAAAGUGAACAUGGGUCUGGCAUUUCAGAAAGACACAGGUUAGUGAGAUAAAUGACUAUAAAAAGAGGUAGCACUGUAGACUGAUGUCCUGUAACAGAGGUACACGUGUGCUGUUAGAGCCAAGAGGGGGUCAAAAUAAAAAGACAGGGCACGGUGGCUCAUACCUGUGAUCCCAGCACUUUAGGAGGCUGAGGUGGGAGGAUCACUUGAGGCCAGGAGUUCAAGACCAGCCUGGGCAACAUAGAUCCCCAUCUCUACAAAAAAAUAAAAUAAAAUAAAAAAAUAAGCCACACAUGGUGGCAUGCAUCUAUAGUCCUAGCUACUUGGGAGGCUGAGGCAGGAGGAUCCCUUGAGCCCUGGAGUUGAAGGCUAUAGUGAGCUAUGAUCACACCACUGCACUCUAGCCUGAGCGACAGAACAAGAUCCCAUCUCUGAAAAAAUGGAUGAGUGAAUUAAAUUUCAAAAUAGAGAUUUAAUGGAAAAAUGAGAAUUGUUGUGUACAUGAUUUAUGAAGUGGCUUACAUAAUAUAAUUUUGGACAUGAAAGCCCUGAAAAAUAGCUUCUUAUUUUAAGGAUGAACAGACUGGGAUUUAUUUCUGAAAUUCUAUAAUUCUCAGUCAGUUGUAAGGCUUUCAUUAUAUAAUAGACUUUUUUUUUUAACCAACGGAAGUUGGACCUCUUCAAAAUGUGAGAUCCAAAAAGGUUUUGGAUAUUGUUUGAAUAACUCUCUUCUCCAAAGGAGACUGUUUUUGAAAAAUGAUUCUUUCUGACAUGUUAAAAUUGAAUAUUUUUGACACGCCAAAUGCACCAAAGUAUUAUAUGUCAUGUUUAUUGCCGAGAGUAGCUAUAUAGCUUGUGGGAGACAGUUAACGUGAAGCUUUCUUGCAUCUGGAAGUAUGGGGAGAGAGAAGGCUUCUUCACACCCCCUUUCAUGUUAUAUUCUACAGGGAAAGAAUUUCUAUCAUGUAGACACUAGGUGACUCCCUUGUGGAUAAUUUCAUUUAACAAUGAUUUCUGGGUGUUGCUCUAUGCCAGGCACUGUUCUAGGAGCUGAUGCGAAGGCUCAGCUGAUGGGCUACAGACCUGAAGGCCUGUGCUCCUCAGUGGCACUCUGUAGGUAGAUACAGAGCCACCAUCUACUGGGUGCUUCUCCUGAGUGUGACAGUGUAGGCUGGGACACGAUGCUACCCUUCAAGGAGCUUGAAGCUAAGGUUCUGUGCACAGAUAAAAUUAGAAUAAAUGCAGAGAUGCUAUAACAAGAUGUCUUAGAAAAAAGAAAAACAAAGAAUAAAUGCAGAGAGAAAGAGAAAUGUAUAAAAGGUAGAGAGAUAAACAUACCACAAGUUCAUAGAAAAGAAAGGUUGUGUGUUUAUCUGUGGCUGGGAUGAUCAAGAAAUGCUUCAUGGAUAAAGAGCCUUUGAGCCAGACAUUGAAAGAAAGGUAAUGUUGGACUUGAGGUCUUGGAGUAUCCUCGUUGAAGGAAACAUGAGCAAAGGCAUAGGUAGGGAUGGGAAAUGCCGGGGUGCAGAGUGGGCAGGAAUCGAUUUGUAGUUGCUGGGCAAUGAUGUGUGUAAACCACUAAGGAGAAGAUCAGGUAGCAAAGGUCCUUGGAGGCCAGAACCCAGAGGGCCUUGAAUGGCACGUGACUAAAUGAUUUAAACUUAAGUUACUGGGGAGCAAUGGAAGAAUUUGAGUGGCUAGAGUCCCCAUCCUGAAGAGGCCUUGCGGGGAUCAGCAUGUGGGUGCCUCUGGACUGUGAAAUAGCCAGAGCUGGGAAGCCUUUUAGAGCUGCUGUUGUGGUCCAGGAGGGAGGUGGGGAGGGCCUGGGUGAGGGGAAGGCCACUAGAUGGAGAAAUUGAAUUUAUGAGAUGGGAUUUAGGAACUGCCUAGAUAAUAGGGGUUGGCCGAUGGGAAGCAAAAAUGCCCCCAGAGCUUUGAACCCAGGUGCCAUUCAUUAUUUCUAUGCCAUCUGCCAGGCAUUGCAUAGCUAUUAUCUCAUUUAAUCUCCUCCUAAUCUUGUGGGUUGGUAUUUUCAUCCUUAUAUCAGAGACGAGAAAACUAAGGGUCAGAGAAAAUUAGCAAUUGGUCUAAAAUUGUACAGUUGUAACAGGAUCUAGAACAGGGACUUCAGUACAGGCCUCCCUGACCCCCAAGCCUGUGUUCUUUCUACUGUACUAGGCUUGGAAGACAGCGUACGUGAGAGCAAAGACAAGCUCUGUCCACUCUGUGCAUAUUCAGUGUAGGUGCUGGUGAGAUUCCCGCCUUCAGGUGUCCAGCAAGUGGUUGGAGACAUGGAGCCGAAUCUCAAGGACAUUGGGAGGAUUGAAGGUCAAGGCUUAAGAACCAUCUGCAUCCUCAUUUAUUUAUUCAGCAGCUAUUUGUUGUGUCUUCGUGGACCAGCUUGGCAGCAUGAAUGCUGUGACCAACAAGAGAGGUGUGUCCUUCACGGAGCUGCCAGGCUGGGAGGGAGCCCUGAUGGCGUGGCUUGAGUGUAAGGCAGGAGGUGUGCAGAUUGGCUGUGGGAACUUACUGGCCUAACCUUGUCAGGUCAGGGAAGCUCUCUAGAGGCAGUUGUGGUUCUCAACAUGAGACUCAAAUGAUGAGGACCCAGUUAAAAAGUGGGAAAACAGCAUACCCCAGGCCGUGGAAGUAGCGCGUACUCAGGCAGAGCAAGAUAAGAACACAGUGUCUUUAAACCAAAAACCACGUGUGGCUGGAAUGGAGGGAAGAGCAAGGAGAUAAGACAGGUGAGCAGGAACCAGAACAAGAAAUGCCCUGGAAGCUGUGAGACGCUUGGAAUUCACCUGUGAAGAAAAGAGUAGCCUCAUCUGAAUUCCUUGCCUCGAUUAUGGUCUCCAAUAGAAGAUUAAAUGGCUGUGGAGUCUAGAGGUUUUUUCCUUCGGUGUGGGCAUCACCCCUUCUGAAAGGAUGGUGUAAUGGCUAAUUGUAUGUAUCAGCUUGGCGAGGCCACAGUACCCAGAUACUUGGUCAAGCACCAGUCUAGAUGUCGCUGUGCAGGUAGUUUUUUAGAUGAGGUUUAACAUUUAUAUCAGUAGAAGGAGUGAAGCAGAUUAUCCUUUGUAAUGUAUGUAG